AGAUUGAACGCUGGCGGCAUGCUUUACACAUGCAAGUCGAACGGUAACAGGCCGCAAGGUGCUGACGAGUGGCGAACGGGUGAGUAAUGUAUCGGAACGUGCCCAGUCGUGGGGGAUAACGCAGCGAAAGCUGCGCUAAUACCGCAUACGAUCUAUGGAUGAAAGCGGGGACCGUAAGGCCUGCGCGAUUGGAGCGGCCGAUAUCAGAUUAGGUAGUUGGUGGGUAAAGGCUCACCAAGCCAACGAUCUGUAGCUGGUCUGAGAGGACGACCAAGCCAACACUGGGACUGAGACGACGGCCCAGACUCCGUACGGGAGCAGCAGGUGGGAAUUUGGACAAGUGGCGACAAGCCUGAUCCGAGCAAGUGCCGCGUGACGAGGAAGAGGCUUCGGUAGUUAAACGU
rnacentral:rRNA from 1 species